rnacentral:rRNA from 1 species
CUUAAAUGAUCCUUUAGUGAUAAAAGAGGUAGGAGGCAUAGAUAUAGUUAGGAGGUUUCCCUAUUAGUAAUCACCCUUGAAUGAAUGCGUAGUAGUUUACUGUUUGAGCACUCUUGCGCCGAAAAUGAACCGGGUUAAGUAAUAUUU